rnacentral:lncRNA from 1 species
CCCCAAACGACUGCAUGCAUAGGUGCAUGCUUGGAUCAACACAGAGAUACGCAUUUCUGAGCAAGGCUUGUAAUGGUCCCUGUCCCUAAAGGGGCCAUGUGGUGAAGUAGGUAUCCAGCCCUACCAGAGGUGACUCUGGCCAUCAGGCCACCACAAAGGAGCUUGAUCUAGGACCUGGAAGAUGCACAAGCUCAUGCAGAUGCCUGCCACUUCUACUGGUGGCACCAUGUGGACAACCAGGGACCUCUUUGGCCAUGGAGGCAGAACAGCAGCAGCAGCAGAAGAGGAAUAAGAUACUGCAGCAUCACAAUCUGCUGCUCCCAGUCUCCUCAGGCACCCAGGAGGCAGAUCAUUGGAAGGUAGGCAGAGGAGGAGGUAGGGAAAAUUAGAAUGUGCAGUCUGAGGGUUCAGGGUAAGUCCAUGGCUAUGGGAGGAUGUCUAGUUAUCGCACAGCUCCUUUUCAGAAAAUCAAGCUCCUUCUCCCAUAAUUGUUUGUUUUUUUGAUGUGUGUCUGAUUAUGUCUACUGAAAUGCAUGUAACAAAGAGAAGACGGCCCAGGCUGGAGUCCUGGGAGACGCCACACAUGAGCAUGGAGCGGGUGAAUGAAGCCAGUGGAGGAGCAUGGGCAGGACAGAGCUCAAGAACAGAAAGAGAAGGCAGGAGCAGCCCAGAGGUGGCAGGGCUGACCUUGCCAGGGCUCAGGAGCUGAACAUGGAUCAUAAGAGGCACUCCUGCUUGCUGUUCUCUGGAGCAUCAAAGCCUGACAACAACCAACCGUCUUCUCCAGUCCAGUGGUUCUCAGCAUCAACAGGGGGAAAUGAGAAUGUGGGGGCUUGGAAAUUAUGUUAACAUUCAUCACUGCGACA